ACAUGAUACAUACAACAUCGAUAGAGGAUAAGAUGGGGAGGGAGCUUAGUGGGUAUACUGUGUGUGUGUUACAAGGGUAAAUAGAGCAAUGAAACAGAAAACUAUGUCGAUGGUGGCAAACAUGACGGGUGAAUAGGCUGGCACAGAGUAUGCGUGCAGGUGUAUCAUGAGCGGGGUAGACUUCAUGCGUGUCAGUGUGGUGGGGGUGGGUAGGUGUAGACAGAGGAUUUCUGCAAGUAGAUCAGGUGGAGAGACUGCAGCAGCAUCCCACAGCGCAGACCGCCUGGGAGGGGAAGAAGAGAGACGACGUGAGUCAAAAAUUUAUUUUUGUGCGUUUGUGACUAUACCUCCUUGGCCACAGGAUCCUCCUAAUCUGUCUACUAAUCAUGGACUCAUUCCUGGGUUUUGCUACCACUCCCCCAUAAUCAGCAACUUUUGUACCCAAUCUA
ensembl:lncRNA